rnacentral:rRNA from 1 species
AGAGCGAACGCUGGCGGCAGGCCUAACACAUGCAAGUCGAACGGAUCCUUCGGGAUUAGUGGCAGACGGGUGAGUAACACGUGGGAACGUGCCUUUUGGUUCGGAACAACUCAGGGAAACUUGAGCUAAUACCGGAUGUGCCCUUCGGGGGAAAGAUUUAUCGCCAUUAGAGCGGCCCGCGUCUGAUUAGCUAGUUGUGAGGUAAGCUCACAAGGCUUCGAUCAGUAGCUGGUCUGAGAGGAUGAUCAGCCACACUGGGACUGAGACACGGCCCAGACUCCUACGGGAGGCAGCGAAGUGGGGAAUCUUGCGCCGAAUGGGCGAAAGCCUGACGCAGCAAACGCCGCGUGGAGGAUGAAGGCCCGUUGGGUGUAAACUCUGUCGGCUGGGAGAACUCGC